ACGCUAAAACACCAGUUCUCAUCCGUUCGCCGAAUUUAAGCAACGUCGAGCCUGAACAGUAUCUAGAUGGGUAACCGUAUGGGAAAACCAGGUACUGUAAG